UCCUACGGGAGGCAGCAGUGGGGAAUAUUGGACAAUGGGCGGAAGCCUGAUCCAGCCAUGCCGCGUGUGUGAAGAAGGCCUUUUGGUUGUAAAGCACUUUAAGCGAGGAGGAGGCUCUUAAGGUUAAUACCCUUGAUGAGUGGACGUACUCGCAGA
rnacentral:rRNA from 1 species